GACAGAGGGUGCAAACGUUGCUCGGAAUCACUGGGCGUAAAGGGCGUGUAGGCGGGCGGAUUAGUCAGAUGUGAAAUCCCUGGGCUCAACCCAGGAACUGCAUUUGAAACUGCCCUUCUUGAGUGUCGGAGAGGAAAGUGGAAUUCCUGGUGUAGAGGUGAAAUGCGUAGAUAUCAGGAGGAACACCGGUGGUGUAGACGGCUCACUGGACCGUAACUGACGCUGAGACACGAAAGCGUGGGUAGCAAACAGG
rnacentral:rRNA from 1 species